rnacentral:rRNA from 1 species
CGCGGCCUAUCAGCUUGUUGGCGAGGUAACGGCUCACCAAGGCAACGACGGGUAGCUGGUCUGAGAGGAUGGCCAGCCACAUUGGGACUGAGAUACGGCCCAGACUCCUACGGGAGGCAGCAGUGGGGAAUCUUGCGCAAUGGCCUAACGGCCGACGCAGCGACGCCGCGUGUGGGAUGAAGCUCCUCGGAGUGUAAACCACUGUUGCCCGGGACGAAUAGCUCGAUUAAUCGAGCCUGACGGUACCGGGUGAGGAAGCACCGGCUAACUCCGUGCCAGCAGCCGCGGUAAUACGGGGGGUGCGAGCGUUGUCCGGAAUCACUGGGCGUAAAGGGCGCGUAGGUGGUUUGAUAAGGGUGUGGUGAAAGUCCGGGGCUCAACCCCGGAUCUGCCGUGCCGACUGUCAAACUCGAGGGCUGUAGAGGCAGACGGAAUUCCGGGUGUAGCGGUGGAAUGCGUAGAGAUCCGGAGGAAGACCGGUGGCGAAGGCGGUCUGCUGGGCAGUUUCUGACACUGAUGCGCGACAGCGUGGGGAGCAAACAGGAUUAGAUACCCUGGUAGUCCACGCCGUAAACGAUGGGUACUAGGUGCCUGGGGGAGCGACCCUCUGGGUGCCGGCGCUAACGCAGGAAGUACCCCGCC